UACGUAGGCAGCAAGCGUUGUUCGGAGUUACUGGGCGUAAAGGGUGUGUAGGCGGUUGUUUAAGUUUGGUGUGAAAUCUCCCGGCUCAACUGGGAGGGUGCGCCGAAUACUGAAUGACUAGAGUGCGGGAGAGGAAAGUGGAAUUCCUGGUGUAGCGGUGAAAUGCGUAGAUAUCAGGAGGAACACCGGUGGUGUAGACGGCUCUCUGGACCGUAACUGACGCUGAGACACGAAAGCGUGGGUAGCAAACAGG
rnacentral:rRNA from 1 species